rnacentral:rRNA from 1 species
AUACGAAGGGUGCAAGCGUUAAUCGGAAUUACUGGGCGUAAAGCGCGCGUAGGUGGUUUGUUAAGUUGAAUGUGAAAGCCCCGGGCUCAACCUGGGAACUGCAUCCAAAACUGGCAAGCUAGAGUAUGGCAGAGGGUGGUGGAAUUUCCUGUGUAGCGGUGAAAUGCGUAGAUAUAGGAAGGAACACCAGUGGCGAAGGCGACCACCUGGGCUAAUACUGACACUGAGGUGCGAAAGCGUGGGGAGCAAACAGGAUUAGAAACCCUAGUAGUCC